rnacentral:tRNA from 1 species
GCCUAGGUUGCUUGGAAGGUAGCGCGUCUGCCUUGUAAGCGCUAAGUUGCGGGUUCGAUUCCCUCCCAGGGCG